CAGGACCUAACACAUGCAAGUCGAGCGGUAGCACAGAGAGCUUGCUCUCGGGUGACGAGCGGCGGACGGGUGAGUAAUGUCUGGGAAACUGCCUGAUGGAGGGGGAUAACUACUGGAAACGGUAGCUAAUACCGCAUAAUGUCGCAAGACCAAAGUGGGGGACCUUCGGGCCUCAUGCCAUCAGAUGUGCCCAGAUGGGAUUAGCUAGUAGGUGGGGUAACGGCUCACCUAGGCGACGAUCCCUAGCUGGUCUGAGAGGAUGACCAGCCACACUGGAACUGAGACACGGUCCAGACUCCUACGGGAGGCAGCAGUGGGGAAUAUUGCACAAUGGGCGCAAGCCUGAUGCAGCCAUGCCGCGUGUGUGAAGAAGGCCUUCGGGUUGUAAAGCACUUUCAGCGGGGAGGAAGGCGUUAAGGUUAAUAACCUUGGCGAUUGACGUUACCCGCAGAAGAAGCACCGGCUAACUCCGUGCCAGCAGCCGCGGUAAUACGGAGGGUGCAAGCGUUAAUCGGAAUUACUGGGCGUAAAGCGCACGCAGGCGGUCUGUCAAGUCGGAUGUGAAAUCCCCGGGCUCAACCUGGGAACUGCAUUCGAAACUGGCAGGCUAGAUCUUGUAGAGGGGGUAGAAUUCCAGGUGUAGCGGUGAAAUGCUAGAGAUCUGGAGGAAUACC
rnacentral:rRNA from 1 species